AACGAACGCUGGCGGCAUGCCUAACACAUGCAAGUCGAACGAGACCUUCGGGUCUAGUGGCGCACGGGUGCGUAACGCGUGGGAACCUGCCCUUAGGUUCGGAAUAACUCCCCGAAAGGGGUGCUAAUACCGGAUAAUGUCUUCGGACCAAAGAUUUAUCGCCUUUGGAUGGGCCCGCGUUGGAUUAGCUAGUUGGUAGGGUAAAAGCCUACCAAGGCGACGAUCCAUAGCUGGUCUGAGAGGAUGAUCAGCCACACUGGGACUGAGACACGGCCCAGACUCCUACGGGAGGCAGCAGUGGGGAAUAUUGGAGAAUGGGCGAAAGCCUGAUCCAGCAAUGCCGGGUGAGUGAUGAAGGCCUUAGGGUUGUAAAGCUCUUUUACCCGGGAUGAUAAUGACAGUACCGGGAGAAUAAGCUCCGGCUAACUCCGUG
rnacentral:rRNA from 1 species